UCAUGUUGAAGUACUAACAAACAAAGAAACCCCACUCCUCCAUCCAUCCACCUUUUAGUUUUCUAGAUAGAUUGUUGCUUUUUGAAUUUUCAGAGGUCACUAAUACCUAAUCAUGAAUAUCAUAUGCUAGAUUAGUGUUUAUUUGAAUAUUACUCCCCUGUCUUCGUGUUUAUGUUUGCUGAUGUAGGUGUAUUUCAGUAAAUAAUUUAAGCUUUUUCUUUAAUUUUAGAAAUUUUAAAUUACUCUUUUACGGUGUAUACUGAGUAUCUUUUGCGUGCAACUGUAGAAAUUAAUUGCUCGAAUCUUGUGGAUCUAAAUGGACGGCAAACUCUCCCUAUGCUGAUACAUCCCAAGUCAUGGAUCGAAUCCACAACCUUAACAAAUACUUCAAUUAUUCAAUGUACAUGAAAUAUGAAUUAUUGUUUAUAUAUGAGAUUGAUGAGCGUAAUGUCUUAGUUAUUAUUUAGUUAUCUCAAAGAGUCUAACAACAAAACUCAUACACACUAAUAAAGAGAAGUAAAUUAAAUGUUUUGUCAAUUAAAAAGAAGGAAGAAUAAACGUGGAUACGAAUCACACUUCAACAACUUAAAUGUUUUUCGUGGCAAAGUUGGGACUACGUAGCAACCAGCAAAAGACAAAUAGAUAUAUAAUAUGAUUAAAUAUUGUUUAUUAAGCCAUGAAAGGCCUCUCUAACUAUGCUUCCAAGCAAGACAAUCCAAGAGUUGGAGUAUGUUUAAAGGAAAACAGAAAAACAACAUGAUUUUGACUCCAGACUGCACGGAAAGAUCCACCUUCAAAUCCAGUGAAGUACAUGCAAGUGUAAAAAUAAAACAUUGUCUAUUGGUAAUCACAAAUUAC